AGUGAACGCUGGCGGUAGGCCUAACACAUGCAAGUCGAACGGCAGCACAGUAAGAGCUUGCUCUUACGGGUGGCGAGUGGCGGACGGGUGAGGAAUACAUCGGAAUCUACUUUUUCGUGGGGGAUAACGGAGGGAAACUUACGCUAAUACCGCAUACGACCUACGGGUGAAAGCAGGGGAUUUUGGGACCUUGCGGGAUUGGCUGAGCCGAUGUCGGAUUAGCUUGUUGGCGGGGUAAAGGCCCACCAAGGCGACGAUCCGUAGCUGGCCUGAGAGGAUGACCGGCGACACUGGUACUAAGGUACGGCCCAGACUGCUACGGGAGGCAGCAGGGGGGAAUAUUGCACAAUGGGCGCAAGCCUGAUGCAGCGACGUCGCGGUAGUGAUGACGGCCUUCGGGUUGUAAACCUCUUUCGAUUGGGACGAAGCUCAAGUGACGGUACCUAAAGAAGAAGCACCGGCCAACUACGUG
rnacentral:rRNA from 1 species